AUGGUAGUUUAUCGUUGAUAGCAAACUAAAAACUUGCUCUAAAAAAGCAAGAGGAGAUCUGAACCUCUUACCCCAUUGAUUCAGCAAUAUCUAUCAAUCCGUGUGCAGAACCAAAAUUUUAUCCGUAUGUGAGCUCCAUGAGCCACAGUGCUCACCGAAGCUAUCAUCUCUCUAGUUAUGCCCCUUGGCUCCAUCUCCCUACUCAGCUCACCCUCAUCCAUCCGCCUCUCCACUACACUUUUGUGUUGCAGCUCUAGAGGCUCCAUACGCCUGAUGAUUCCCCAAUCGGCCAGUCCCCAAUCCGGCCGUCUGAUGCUCGAGGCUCACCGCCCUUCCCAUAUCUUGGAGAGCAGCGGAGCCGCUGGUUGCCGCCUUGCUCUCCCUGCGGUGUGCGCUCCGGGUCCAGCUUUGCCGUCUGUUCUCCUCGCCUCCCCGUGCAACUUCUCGCCUCUUUUGCUCCUUUGCUCGUCGGAUCCUCCUCCAUCGCAUAGGCCAAAGAAAGACAACUAUUUAUUGAAGAAUCAAGGGAUCUUUGAGGAGCUGGGUAUGUUUUGUAUCUCUAUUUUUUAGUUUAUAAUUGUCUGUUGGGCAAGAUCUAGGCCGAAAGAUUUUAUUUAGGAAGCAAAAAUUCCACUGUCAUGCUAUAUCGAUUAAAAAUCCAGUCGUCAGUUUUCUUAUUUGUUUUGGUGGGGACUGCGGUGAAUUGCCUGUAUUUUUUCUUCUUGCUUCAAUCCUCUUUGCCCCUUUGUUCUCUGUAAACCUCCGUCAUCUUUGAUCUAGUUUGGUAAAUGUAAUAAAUUUAUUUUUAUGUGUUAUUGUUAGUUAAUCAUGUAUGGUUUUGAGGUAUAUUUGAUUGCAUUAGAAUUUGUAAUGUGAUGUCUGUAAUUAGUGUGUUUGUUGAACAUACUUUAUGUAUACAUUUCAUAAGUCAUCUAUUUGAGGAUAAGUAAUUCAACAGAAAGGUAUCAUUGUACUUUGAUUUGCAAUGGUAAUACAGUUGUACUCUAGAUAUUGCGCGGCUAGACCUAGUAUAAUUUUUUUAUUCAUAAUAAUUCCUGUAUUUUGAAAUUUAUUAUAUUAUCGUCAAUGCAAGAAAUUAGUAUUUAGUUAAAAAAAAACUCAGUAGAAGUAAUAAGAUGGAAAAAGGAAAGGAAAAUACAUCUGUUUAUUUAUUUAGAUGAUUUAAAAAUCAAGCUACAUUGAGUUGUAAUGGCAAUACAGUUAAACUCAAGAUCUUGGUACUGCAUCCAAAUAAUAACUUUUUUUAGUUGUGGCUGCAAGUAUGUAAAAAAUUUAUGUUUUGAAGUACAUUGCUGAUAGACAUUAUGUAUUUUAGUGCAUACCGAAAGUUAUGAACUACUGAGAUUGAUACAUUAUUUGUUUGCGAAUCAUUGAUGAUGCUUCUUGCGUAUCAUUGAUGAAAACUAUUUAUAAGAUCUCUUUAUACACAAUGUUUUUGGCUGUGUCUUCACUUGGACAUUCUGAGUCGUUUAUUAGCAGCUUUAGUCCUGUUCUGUUUGUGACUCUAGAUAAAGCCACAUAUAGUUGUCCAUGUCACCAAGCGAUUCCAUUGUGUCAGGCGGUCACCACCUGCACCAGCAUUAAAUGUCGAUUACCUCGCUGCACAUAGGGGGUGGCCUGCAGGCCCCCUCCUAGAUGAUCUUUUUGAAGGAUUGAAGGCUCUGAGGGUCCGGAGGCAUGGCCUCCGAGAUCGCCCUAGAGCCCCAGGCCUCGGAGGGGGUUGGAGCCUGGUGGUCUUUGGGCCCGAACCGUUGGGGCCAAGGGACGUCAGAGGUUCUUAAUGGCAAUUCCCCUAACACCAAGUAAAAGGUUGAUUUGCUCAAGAGCUUGGGUAGAUCAAAACACUUCAUCACUCAUCCUCUUCCUAGUCGUCUGCCUCCCCUCCCCUGCUCUCUCCUCUCUUCUUCCCUAUCCUGAGCCUAGUGCCGCUACGACGGUAGGAGCCAACGAUGACCGCGACCUAGUGAUGGCACGACACAGGUUGAGGCUGAGCCCGUUUGCCUCCUCCAUUUCCUUUUCUAUUUGUCCUGUUCAUUUUUCAAUCCACUUCUUGUUUGAUGCAAGGAACUAUAGAUGCUUGGGUGAGUAGUUGAGGACCACCCCAACCUGGCAACAUGAACCACUGAACUCGAAGGAUGCCCCUACAUGGUGGGGGCACCACUUGGUAAAAGGACUGCUAGAAGGCAAAGGAAAUUGAGGAUCAAAGACUUGCUUGAAGGUGGUGGCAAAUCUGGUGACAAGAAAAAGAAGAAAAAUAUGAUCAGAUACCCAGUCACGUGCUUAAGAUGUGGUGAAAAGGGUCAAAGACAAGUUAGCUACAAAUGCCCCCUUAAUGAAACUAAAAUAAGGUAAUUAUUUAUGGGUUAAUUAUUUACAUUGCAUGCUUAUUGUAUCAAUUUUGGCAAGGAUGUCAAGGAUGCAUGGAGAUUUUGGCAGUUUUGUUUAUUCAAAUGGUAAGUACCUCAAGAUGUUAUACAUCAUGUACUCUCCAGCUGUGAGUCCAUGUUAUUGAUUAUUUCUUCCUUUACUCUAUUUUUUUGCUGGUGAAGGUUUUUUUUUUUCAACUGUCUUAUUAGUGCACAGAGUGACGGUUACAAGUACGUGGCUUGUCUUUAUCUUAAUCGACAAGAAGCGAGGAGGCCCUUUUCACAACAAAGGUGGUCACUCAGGAAUGAUUUGUAACUCGUGAUAAUUCUGUAUCACAUGGAGAUGAUUAGUAAUAUGCUUGUAAUCAGACCUCGCUGAGAGUGAGCCAUGCAUUUCUGGCCCAAUGAGGUGGGCCUUGUGACUAUGUGCAUUUGGAAGAAAGAAAAUCAUAUUGGCAUGCUUGCCUUGGCAACAGAGUUGGUUUCAAGGUUUUCCAGCUGUGUGUUGCUUGAAACGUCCAAGAGCACACAUGGAUCUACUGUUCUUUCUGGAAAUGACAUUCGUGGGUCCUAACUUCACUUGUAUACACGAGGUAGGCGUUUCAAUCCGCUAGUGACCAUGAUUCUGCCAGAGCCUUAUGCAGAAUUAAGGAAGCUUACUGGUUACGGAACUUUGCUGGUAGCAAUAGGAUCAUGAUUAGUCAUAUCUUGCCAGAUGAAAGCAUGCACGAAGACGGUAGAACUGCUGAAUCUCGGUGAUGUUCGAACCUGACGGACAUGACAGCGUAGUUCUUUCUGGUGCUGACUGAUGUUGGUGUGGAAGUGGCAGCACCCCUGGUUAGGCAACCAAAUGUUCAGCACCCCUGAACAGGAAAUGAUUCUGUUUAUGAAUCAUGAUUUGGAAAGGGCUAAAAAGGACACGGAGCAAUAUUGCCAAAUUUCGGUUGUGGGAUGGGUGACCUACCUCUUUGCUACUUGUGCAUCCCAAUCCACUACUGGAAACUUAAUAACUUAGAGUGGAAGGGAGUAGAAGAAAGAUUUGCUAAGAGACUGAGUAGUUAGACUGGUAAGCAUCUAUCUUUGGGUGAUAGGUUAGUCCUAUUAAACUCAUUUUUAUCCAACCUUUCCACUUAUAUGAUAUCUUUCUUUCAAAUCACGUGAGAGGUCCUUCAAAGAUUAGACUAUUAUAAAUCUAAAUUUUACUGACAAAGUAAGGGUCAUAAAAAGAAAUGCCUCCUAGCGAAAUUGCGGACUCUCUACCAUCUCAAGGAAAACGACGGUUUAGGAAUCCAAGACCUAGAUGCCUAUUCUCUACAAAUGAUUUUUUAACCUUCUCGACUAAGAAGGAAUUUGGCAAGACCUUUUAAGAAACAAAUAUUUGGGAUCAAAACCCUUCUCUCAAACUGAUUGAAACCGGGAGAUUCGCACUUUUAGGUCAGUUUGAUGAAGGUGAAACUAUAUUUACUUUGGCUUGAUACUUUUGUCGUUAAAGAUGGCACACAAACUAGUUUAUGGGAAGAUAAGUGGCUUGGAGAUUCACCACUCAAAGAUCAAUAUCUCAGUCUAUACUACAUUGUGCGCCAUAAGCAUAAAUCAGUGGCGCAGGUCCUACAAGCACAUCCCCAUAUGUCUCUUUCCGACGAACAUUAGAUGGCCUAAAGUUGAUCGUUUGGAAUAAUCAUCUCGACAAGAUCAAUAGUAUAUCAAUCGGUUGAGAGCGAGAUGGUGACUGACCCAAAAUGGGCCAAUUCACGGUAAACUCCUUAUACCGAGCACUAAAGCAGAUUGAGACCCCAAACAUAAACAAUCAACUGUGGAAACUGAAAUUACCGACAAAAAUAAAUAAAAAUUUCUUUUGGUACCUCCACCGAGGAGUCCUUUUAACGAAGGAAAAUCUGAUAAAAAGAAAUUGAAAAAUGAUUUAGAAGUGUUGUUUUUUCAUAAAAAUAAGACGAUUAAAACACCUCUUGUUUUACUGUUGUCUUGCACGUUUUACAUGGUUUAUU